rnacentral:rRNA from 1 species
AUGCGCAGUGAUGGACAUCUACAGCCAUAUGAAGUUCUCAUGAUUGAGAAUGUAAUCUUUUAUCAGAGGCUUUACUUAUUUAAGUUCCAGCUGAGCAUAUUUCUUUUGCCUUUAGUUCACCAGUCAUCUGCUGCCUUUCUCAAAGUCUUCUCCUUUGAUGAACACUUUGUUGGGGGGUUUACAUUCCCCUUUCAAGAAUCCCUUUACUCUCACAAAAGAAAAGAUAGUUUUCUUUAUCAUGAUAAAAAGCAAAAAAGGUUGGAACAAGCGAAAGCAACGCAUCAUCCUUUGCUUCAUUCCUGGGUUGCCAGAAACCUUUAG